AAGGGUUCCAAAGCCUCAUGGUGGAGGGGUCUUCACUCUCUUCGUGGUUUUCUGUUUUUUUUUUUUUUAAACUGAAAACUCUAUCAAUCACUGAGAACAAUUUUUUUUUUGUUAUUAGAUGGAGCUUAAAGCCUAAAGAAAACAAACAAGAAAUAACCAAAGUACAUAUUAAGCGGGGUAAUGUUGCCCCCUCUAUCAUCCACAUAGAGAAUUCUAACAAGAUCCUGGGGAGGAGAAUCCCAUAACAAAAAACCUUCUUCAUGCUCUAAACUCUUUCUGCCUAGGCAAUCAGCACUGUACAAAAUGAAUCCUCCAAUUAUAGUUUUUGAGCUCAAGGAUUCUAUGAAUUAGAGGAUUAGGAUGCCUGGUGAGAUUCUUUCCCCCAUUGAGGAGCUUCACCACUGCCGCGGAAUCGCAUUCAACAAUAAUCUUUUUCAGACUCAUCCUCCACGCCAGUUUCAAGCCAUCCGCCACUCCCCAUAGUUCUGCAGUAAAAGCUGAACAAACUCUGAAUGUUUUGCGUGUAACCAGCAACCUACCUCCCCUCUUCAUUUUGAAUCAGCCCGCCGUAGCCAACCCUUUCCAAAUUUUGCUGCACAGACCCGUCCAAGUUGAGUUUCGCCUAACCUUCCGGAGGAGGCUGCCACCUAAUUCCGAUUUCAAUCCUUUCUAUCAUUCUCCCCACGAGGCAACCAUUAUCAGCAACAAAAUUCAAGAUUAAGCAAUGCUCAUGAAUAAUGUAUGGCAACAACAUUCGCCCAGCAGACCAACCCUAUUCCCAUUAAGAAUAUUAAAAACGCAUUCAAAUAUACUAUUAAACCCCAACUCAGAAUUUUCCAUCACUGAAUUCUACUCCCCAUUAAUAAAUUAACUCAGGUAAUAACAUCA